rnacentral:rRNA from 1 species
CCUACGGGGGGCUGCAGUAGGGAAUCUUCCGCAAUGGACGAAAGUCUGACGGAGCAACGCCGCGUGAGCGAAGAAGGUCUUCGGAUCGUAAAGCUCUGUUGUUAGGGAAGAACAAGUACGGGAGGAAAUGACCGUACCUUGACGGUACCUGACGAGGAAGCCACGGCUAACUACGUGCCAGCAGCCGCGGUAAUACGUAGGUGGCAAGCGUUGUCCGGAAUUAUUGGGCGUAAAGCGCGCGCAGGCGGUCUUUUAAGUAUGAGGUGAAAUCCUGAGGCAAAACCGCGAGCGGUCAUUGGAAACUGGGAGACGAGGAUGGAGAACAGGCAAGCCGAAUUGAAAAUGUAGCAGUGCAGUGGGUGUAGAUGAGCCUGCACACCAGUUCCAAAGAGGGCUCCCUGGACGGUAGCUGACUGUGAGGCCAGAUGGCGUGGGGGGAAAACAGUAGUAGGUUCACUGUUAGUC